rnacentral:rRNA from 1 species
CCAGACUCCUACGGGAGGCAGCAGUGAGGAAUAUUGGUCAAUGGGCGAGAGCCUGAACCAGCCAAGUCGCGUGAAGGAUGACGGCCCUACGGGUUGUAAACUUCUUUUGUCAGGGAGCAAUUGGGUCCACGCGUGGGCUUAGCGAGAGUACCUGAAGAAAAAGCAUCGGCUAACUCCGUGCCAGCAGCCGCGGUAAUACGGAGGAUGCGAGCGUUAUCCGGAUUUAUUGGGUUUAAAGGGUGCGUAGGCGGAAUGCCAAGUCAGCGGUAAAAUCGCGGGGCUCAACCUCGCUCCGCCGUUGAAACUGGCGUUCUUGAGUGGGCGAGAAGUAUGCGGAAUGCGUGGUGUAGCGGUGAAAUGCAUAGAUAUCGCGCAGAACUCCGAUUGCGAAGGCAGCAUGCCGGCUCCACACUGACGCUGAGGCACGAAAGCGUGGGUAUCGAACAGGAUUAGAUACCCCGGUA